UACGGGGGGUGCGAGCGUUGUCCGGAAUCAUUGGGCGUAAAGAGCGUGUAGGCGGUCCGGUAAGUCCGCUGUGAAAGUCGGGGGCUCAACCCUCGAAUGCCGGUGGAUACUGUCGGGCUAGAGUGCGGAAGAGGCGAGUGGAAUUCCUGGUGUAGCGGUGAAAUGCGCAGAUAUCAGGAGGAACACCUAUUGCGAAGGCAGCUCACUAAGCCAUAACUGACGCUGAUGCACGAAAGCGUGGGGAGCAAACAGG
rnacentral:rRNA from 1 species